UACGUAGGGGGCAAGCGUUGUUCGGAAUGACUGGGCGUAAAGCGCGUGUAGGCGGCUCGGCAAGUCGGAUGUGAAAGCCCUGGGCUCAACCCAGGAAGUGCACUCGAAACUGCCGAGCUGGAGUCCCGGAGAGGAAGGCGGAAUUCUCGGUGUAGAGGUGAAAUUCGUAGAUAUCGAGAGGAACACCGGUGGCGAAGGCGGCCUCUGGACGGCGACUGACGCUGAGACGCGAAAGCGUGGGGAGCAAACAGGG
rnacentral:rRNA from 1 species